rnacentral:tRNA from 16 species
CGCGGGGUGGAGCAGUCUGGUAGCUCGUCGGGCUCAUAACCCGAAGGUCGCAGGUUCAAAUCCUGUCCCCGCAAUCA